rnacentral:ncRNA from 1 species
CUCACUUUUUUGCAUGUUAAUUGAAAAAAUUAACUGAUAUAUAAUAAUUUUUUAUUCCCCUAAGGUAAAAUCAGGAGGAUUAGAGAGUUUUGUGUUUAAUUUGUAAGAUUCAAUAAGCGAACUAUAAAGCCAGGUUAGAUGAAAUUAAAGAAAGCAGAAGUAAAGUAGUGUUUAAACUGUAAGGAUAUUGGCAGGCCCUUUACAAUAAAGAAGGGAGGUUGAGUAGUAAUUGAGAACCCACAUUUUCAACUUUUGUUUUAGGCGCAUGUAUGAUCGUUUAUUUUAUUCUUAACGAUUGUAAAUAAAAGUUAUUACCUAAAAAAACAGAUAAAUACCUGGUUUAUAAAAAAGUGUAAAUUUGACCUACAGUAGCCCAAACUUUUGGAUUCGACGCUGAGAGGUGUUGGUGAAAUUGUAAAAGACAGUAAACUCGUUCUUUAUGUACUUUUUUUUUUUUUAUUUAGGAGCGGUACAAAUCAUCCAUCAAUUGCCCACAGGGGAGUAAGUUGUAGUAAAGUAUAACCU